AUGAACGCUGGCGGCGUGCCUAAUACAUGCAAGUCGAACGAAACUUCUUUAUCACCGAGUGCUUGCACUCACCGAUAAAGAGUUGAGUGGCGAACGGGUGAGUAACACGUGGGCAACCUGCCCAAAAGAGGGGGAUAACACUUGGAAACAGGUGCUAAUACCGCAUAACCAUAGUUACCGCAUGGUAACUAUGUAAAAGGUGGCUAUACUACCGCUUUUGGAUGGGCCCGCGGCGCAUUAGCUAGUUGGUAGGGUAAAGGCUUACCAAGGCAAUGAUGCGUAGCCGAAUUGAGAGGUUGAUCGGCCGCAUUGGGACUGAGACACGGCCCAAACUCCUACGGGAGGCAGCAGUAGGGAAUCUUCCACAAUGGGCGAAAGCCUGAUGGAGCAACGCCGCGUGGGUGAAGAAGGUCUUCGGAUCGUAAAACCCUGUUGUUAGAGAAGAAAGUGCGUGAGAGUAACUGUUCACGUUUCGACGGUAUCUAACCAGAAAGCCACGGCUAACUACGUG
rnacentral:rRNA from 1 species